GUUCAGCCUAUUAUUGAUUUUUUUUUUUUUUACUUCCACUUCACAUUUAUCCAAAGAAACUGAACUAUUUGCACUGCAUUUACCAAUGCUGCAUUCAAUAUCUAUACAAUGCUAUAGCCUAGAAAUAAUCUGUCAGCAUAUAGGCUAGUGGGCUAGUAAUAAAAAAAUAAAAGAUUGCAAUAAAAAAAAAGUCUGCUUUUUUGCGGGUCUAAACUUUUGUUUGCGAGUUGAAAAGUUUUGCUUGCAAGUGAAGCUGUCUCUCAGUGGGCGGUCUCUACACCAGGAUGAAAGACCUUUUUCUAUUGGUCACUCUCGAUUGAAGUCACUAGUAGACCACGCCCACUAUGUUUCCCGGAAUCCCCUUCGCUGCCGCCGCAGUCUGCAUUUUAGAAGAGCGAGGAAGGUUGUAUCAUGACGAGCAACAGCUCGUGUACUGGGAAGAUGAUUUGGUGUUGAUAGAGGAGGCAACAUCUUCAAGACAAAACCUUAGACCUGAUGCAACACCAUCCAAUGUUGCAGUCACCCUCAGGAGGCUCUUGUAGCCCAGUGCCCAAUAUGCACAGGAACAUUUCCAGUGUCAGAAGUAGACCGGCCAUGCCAGCUUUUGAUGAGACAGGUAAUGGUGGAAAUUCUGAAAGAAUUAAAAGCUUGUACUGAAGGCGGAGCAAUUGGACCAAUCAGAUGAAAGGGGCAUUUCAGCGCUGCCCAUCUGUGCGAAUGAAACAUUGCAACUAUAAACCGAUUUUUAAACCACAAACGAAACAUGAGAUAUCGAGCUGAAAUCUCAUAUGUAUCCAUGUAUCAUUCAUUAAUUCGUUUUUUGAUACAAUAUUGAAAGUAGAAAAAUGAGAAAACGGCUCCUUUUCUUUUUGAAACUUGCUAAUUAGCACAUUAUUAGGAAAGGCGAUUUGCAAAGAUUAAUUCAAAAAAGUUAUACUCACUUUUUCUCUAGGUGAAGCUGAACCACAAAUGAUUCCCGCGAAGAUAGACGCAUUUAGGUAGAUCAGGGACGCAUUCCCUAAAAAAAAAAAAUUAAUCCACUUCAGCGGCUCAGAUGUCAGGAGUAAAUGAUGACUGCUAUGUUAUUAUUACAUUCAACAACAUAACACCUCAAUCGCUUAGGAUUCAUUCUUGUCUACAUCUGCUCCAGUGUCGAAACAUUGGCGGACUGAUGACAGCUCACUCAGGGCGGGUCUAAGGUAAGACAGCAGUCCAGUCUGUGCUGAAAUGCUACUGUCAAUGAAACUAUCGUGGGAGGGGCCUGUCUCUGUGACGUCACAAAGACAGGCAUCUGAGUUCGGCUCGAUUUGAGAAAGGGUUAAAGAUCUUAGUAGAUAAAAAAAAACACUGGGUGGAUUUUUAUCAUUAUAGGGUGGUUGUGUACACACACUGCCAACACACAUUUCAGUUCAAACAACUUGUAAAAGUGCAUGUACCAUACGAGGACCUCUUUAAAGUGAUAGGGGCCUA
ensembl:lncRNA